CUCCGCGUCCGCCAUUACACUGCUGCUUAACAAUCGAUAUUGUCCAGACUUAACUAACCACAUGGUGUUAUAAACCACACUGGGUGGCAGAUGACAGUCUGGUCAUUAAACACAAUUGAUGCCACCAUGUCUCAUCUUCCUGGUAGUAUUAAGCAGUCAUUUGACUCGCACAAGUUAGCAGCAGUGUAAUGGCGGACAGUCACGUGACUGACGAUAUGGCGGCGGUCAAUUUAUCGAUUAUGGAACGG